UCCCUGAAGGACUAGUGGUUCAGCUACAGCGCUCUCACCGCUUCGGCCCGGGUUCGAUUCCCAGCAAGGGAA